rnacentral:rRNA from 1 species
AGCGAACGCUGGCGGCAGGCCUAACACAUGCAAGUCGAACGGAUCCUUCGGGAUUAGUGGCGGACGGGUGAGUAACACGUGGGAACGUGCCCUUUGGUUCGGAACAACUCAGGGAAACUUGAGCUAAUACCGGAUGUGCCCUUCGGGGGAAAGAUUUAUCGCCAUUGGAGCGGCCCGCGUCUGAUUAGCUAGUUGGUGAGGUAACGGCCCACCAAGGCGACGAUCAGUAGCUGGUCUGAGAGGAUGAUCAGCCACACUGGGACUGAGACACGGCCCAGACUCCUACGGGAGGCAGCAGUGGGGAAUCCUGCGCAAUGGGCGAAAGCCUGACGCAGCCAUGCCGCGUGAAUGAUGAAGGUCUUGGGAUUGUAAAAUUCUUUCAGCGGGGACGAUAAUGACGGUACCCGCAGAAGAAGCUCCGGCUAACUUCGUG